UACAGAGGGUGCGAGCGUUAAUCGGAAUUACUGGGCGUAAAGCGUGCGUAGGCGGCUAUCUAAGUCGGGUGUGAAAGCCCCGGGCUCAACCUGGGAAUUGCAUUCGAGACUGAAUAGCUAGGGUACGGUAGAGGGAAGUGGAAUUUCCGGUGUAGCGGUGAAAUGCGUAGAUAUCGGAAGGAACAUCAGUGGCGAAAGCGACUUCCUGGACCAGUACCGACGUUCAGGCACGAAAGCGUGGGGAGCGAACAGG
rnacentral:rRNA from 1 species